rnacentral:rRNA from 1 species
AUACGGAGGAUCCGAGCGUUAUCCGGAUUUAUUGGGUUUAAAGGGUGCGCAGGCGGCCAUUUAAGUCAGCGGUUAAAUCGUGGGGCUCAACCCCAUUCUGCCGUUGAUACUGGGUGGCUUGAUUGCGGUCGAGGUUGGCGGAAUUCGUUGUGUAGCGGUGAAAUGCAUAGAUAUGACGAAGAACACCGAUUGCGUAGGCAGCUGACCAGACCGCAAAUGACGCUCAUGCACGAAAGUGCGGGGAUCGAACAGGAUUAGAUACCCUGGUAGUCCGCACAGUAAACGAUGAAUACUCGCUGUUUGCGAUAUACAGUAAGCGGCCAAGCGAAAGCGUUAAGUAUUCCACCUGGGGAGUACGCCGGCAACGGUGAAACUCAAAUGAAUUGACGGGG